rnacentral:rRNA from 1 species
AUUGAACGCUGGCGGCAUGCUUUACACAUGCAAGUCGAACGGCAGCGCGGGCUUCGGCCUGGCGGCGAGUGGCGAACGGGUGAGUAAUACAUCGGAACGUGCCCAGUCGUGGGGGAUAGCUCGGCGAAAGCCGGAUUAAUACCGCAUACGACCUGAGGGUGAAAGCGGGGGAUCUUCGGACCUCGCGCUAUUGGAUCGGCCGAUGGCAGAUUAGCUAGUUGGUUGGGUAAAGGCCUACCAAGGCGACGAUCCGUAGCUGGUCUGAGAGGACGACCAGCCACACUGGGACUGAGACACGGCCCAGACUCCUACGGGAGGCAGCAGUGGGGAAUUUUGGACAAUGGGCGAAAGCCUGAUCCAGCAAUGCCGCGUGUGUGAUGAAGGCCUUCGGGUUGUAAAGCACUUUUGGCGGGAACGAAAAGGACUGUGCCAAUACCACGGUUCGAUGACGGUACCCGCAGAAUAAGCACCGGCUAACUACGUG